UCAUUACACUGCAAAUGUGGGAAGCUAUAAAAGUCAACGAAGGGCUUGUAAAAGAACAUCCUCUGGACGUCUACAGACCAAAUGCUGCAAAGAACAUGUAAGGGAAUGCCUGAGAACCAUGGAGGAAGUUUUAAUGAAAUCAGAAGUAAACCGAACAACAUCAAUCUGUGCCAACAGUUCUGUGGCUGUCCUGCAUAAGCCCCCCAGUUUUGGCUGCAAUGGUCUUGAAAUGUAUGUCAGUGAACCUGAGAUGCAGGGAGCUGCAGAUAAGGAUUUGUCCAGCAGGAAAGUGAGAGUUCAACUGCCAAGUGAGGUGAAUCUUGGACCGAAUAAUACAGUUGCAUUCUUGAUGAUUCAGCUUCCA